AGUGAAUGAGUUACUGCAUUUGCUUGAUUCACUCGAAAAGCUAAGCUAUCUCUGCAUCAAUGGAGCGUGAAACCACAAGCAGCCGCGGUUCUUCCAGGAAGCUAUCAUUAGAGCAAAUCGCAGCAAUGACGAAUGCCACCAUCAACAAAAUCCACUUUUCAAACUCGCGAGAGCGUCUUCGCAACGGCACAACCGUAACCUACCAUGACUGCACCUCCGUAGGUUACGGCUGGCUUCUUCCAGGUUGGGUCGCCGAGGAACGGCGAGUCCAAAGUGGAAGAAUUUAUAGGUACUACUACGACCCAAAUGGAUCGUUUUACGAAAGCCAACAAAAGGUGUUGGAGUUCUUGGAGCAAUUCUGGGGAAUAAUCGUUCUUGACACUUAGAUCUCGGAGAUCUUUGUGUUGCACUCUUAGGAGUACUUGUUGUGGCAAACCAGACACAGAUGGGGACCCUUUAGUUUAAAUUAAUUAAUAAUGUCUUCGUUUGUUGUUGUUUUUUUUUUCUUUUGUUCUUGAAUAUCAAUGGCUAUUUUCUCAA